rnacentral:rRNA from 1 species
UACGAAGGGGGGCUAGCGUUGCUCGGAAUGACUGGGCGUAAAGGGCGCGUAGGCGGAUGGCACAGUCAGAUGUGAAAUUCCCGGGCUUAACCUGGGGGGCUGCAUUUGAUACGUGUUGUCUAGAGUGAGGAAGAGGGUUGUGGAAUUCCCCAGUGUAGAGGUGAAAUUCGUAGAUAUUGGGAAGAACACCGGUGGCGAAGGCGGCAACCUGGUCCUUGACUGACGCUGAGGCGCGAAAGCGUGGGGAGCAAACAGG